AGUAUUACUUGUUCUGUAAAAGGGUUGGAUCCGACGCCUCUAGAAGGCUACUAUAGGCUCUCCUUCUCAACUCCUACUCAAUACGUCCACGUCGUGCAGAACGGUAACUUGUUGCUCAGAUCCAAGCUUGGGUACACGGGGAAACCCAACCCCUCGGGCGGAUGAGCGGCAAGGCAGAAUUGAGAGGU
rnacentral:ribozyme from 1 species